CCCUUAGAUGUCCGGGGCCGCACGCGCGCUACACUGAAGGAAUCAGCGUGGCUUUCUCCCUGACCCGAAAGGGUUGGGAAACCCGUUGAAUCUCCUUCGUGAUAGGGAUUGGGGCUUGAAAUUGUUCCCCAUGAACGAGGAAUUCCCAGUAAGCGCGAGUCAUAAGCUCGCGUUGAUUACGUCCCUGCCCUUUGUACACACCGCCCGUCGCUCCUACCGAUUGAGCGGUCCGGUGAAGACUCAGGAGAUGGGCGCGUGCUUGGUUCGCCAACUGCGCUGCCUGCCAAAUUUGUCUAAACCUUAUCGCUUAGAGGAAGGAGAAGUCGUAACA
rnacentral:rRNA from 1 species